rnacentral:sRNA from 1 species
CUGACAGCCCUGAAGUGUAAAAUCCCUUCUUUAUCCACAGAACAGGGGCAGCCUGGACAGCAGCAAUGCAAGUUGCUGCUGUGUCUCUGACAUUAUGCCCAAACCUUGCCCUGAAAGAACUGUGGCCUUGUUCCAUAAUCUCUUAGGGUUUCAGUUUUCUGGUAUAACUGUGAAUAAUGCUGUCAAUUAGCGUCUUUA